rnacentral:rRNA from 1 species
GAUGAACGCUGGCGGCGUGCCUAAUACAUGCAAGUCGAGCGAACAGACGAGAGUGCUUGCACUCUCUGACGUUAGCGGCGGACGGGUGAGUAACACGUGGGUAACCUACCUAUAAGACUGGGAUAACUUCGGGAAACCGGAGCUAAUACCGGAUAAUAUUUAGCUUCGCAUGAAGCAAUAGUGAAAGACGGUUCUGCUGUCACUUAUAGAUGGACCCGCGGUGUAUUAGCUAGUUGGUGAGGUAACGGCUCACCAAGGCAACGAUACAUAGCCGACCUGAGAGGGUGAUCGGCCACACUGGGACUGAGACACGGCCCAGACUCCUACGGGAGGCAGCAGUAGGGAAUCAUCCGCAAUGGACGAAAGUCUGACGGAGCAAUGCCGCGUGAGUGAAGAAGGUUUUCGGAUCGUAAAACUCUGUUGUAAGGGAAGAACAAGUACGUUAGUAACUGAACGUACCUUGACGGUACCUUACCAGAAAGCCACGGCUAACUACGUG